CCUACCUUUUCUUGGUGGAGACCAGGCAUGUAGUCCCAUUCCUCAUUAUUGUACAGAGGCAGAGGGAAAGGGUUUCGACUCCCUUUGGCAUCAUGUCUUUGGUGCUGCAGCUUCUUAUCUGCCAGAUCUAUCCUCAAGCACCAGGGACACUG